rnacentral:rRNA from 1 species
UACAGAGGUGGCAAGCAUUGUUCGGAUUCAUUGGGCGUAAAGGGUCCGUAGGCGGCUUGGUAAGUUGGAUGUGAAAUCCCACAGCUUAACUGUGGAACUGCAUUCAAAACUGCCAGGCUAGAGUGUGGGAGGGGUGAGGGGAAUUCCCGGUGUAAGGGUGAAAUCUGCAGAGAUCGGGAGGAACACCAGACGCGAAGGCGCCUCACUGGUCCAUUACUGACGCUCAGGGACGAAAGCUAGGGUAGCAAACGGG